rnacentral:lncRNA from 1 species
CAGGACUUGGGUUAGAGAUGAAAUUAUACACCAUAUUCCAACUUCAUUCUCUAUCAGUGGAAUCAAUCACUCACUAAAAUAUAACAUAUUUGGUCAAUAGUUCUCUUUAUCAAUAGGCAAUUGUGGUUUUCGGAUGUUCUAAUUAAUUAUAGAGAAAUGAAAUGAGGAUCAACUAGGCCAAAUUGUUCAUCAGUAAAAAAAAUGUACUUUUAAUGAUUAAUGCACAUAGAAAUUUAACCAACUCAUCUAAUAUUUCAUCUUUCAACCUCGGAAAAGAAGCAGACAAAAGUAAGUGAUGGUGGGGAAGGGGGUAAAUUAUACACAUCAAAUAAAUCAGUUCCUUAGUUUCUAAUAAUCCUAAAAUCCUACAAAACAUUGCUGCUAUGUAACUUCUCUCAGCAAUUCUUCAUGAUAGACCACAGACCAAAAAAACUUACAGUGUCCAAUGUUUAAGAAAAUUCAUUCGAUUAUUUUAUCUAAAGAAAUACAUAUCAUUCAAAUCCAACCAUCACAAGUUGGAAAAACUAAAGUCUAACAACAGGCACCAAUGCCACUGCAGAAAGAGAUUUUCAUAUUCAAUUUCAUUCAACGGAGUCAAAAUCCACUCAAAAGAUUAUAAAAACUAUAAAUGAACACAACUGAAUACACUUAACAAAAACACAUGCUAACCAACAACAGAGUUAUAAACCCACAUGAAAAUUGCAGCCCUGCUCAUAAAGAAAUAAUAAAUUACUCAACCAUGAUUAUAACUGCAUUUCUUUCUCCUAUGAAAAUUUGUACUAAAACGUUACUUCAUACUUCAUAAACAAUCACACUACACAGAAUCGUAAACCAAGAUGUUGUUUCCAUGUUUUCUUCUAUUUCCAACGGAAUAAAAACAUAACCAAAUAUUCCACCCAUACAACCAAAAUGGAAAACAGAGCACACAACACACAUAUCAUUCAUUAUUUUUAUUUGCCAAACAAAAUACCCCAAAUGCAGCAUUCCAAUCCCACUAAAUUCGAGGAUUCCAGUUUCUCCUCUUUAAGAACCCCAACAAAGGGUACAUCAAAUAGUUUAUUAGGAAAAUCUUUGUUAACUAGCCUUGGUAGAGUUUCAUUCUACAUGAUUCAUCUGUGAACCAUCAUCGCCCCUACCAUGGUCAUGAGCAACUAAUACAGUUCCAUUACUCACAUGCAGCCUUAGUAUUCUCUGGAUUAUAUGUUCCCUUUAGAGAAGUUUUCUUUGAAUCAUUAGAAUCUAAUCCUAAAACCCUUUCAUCGAUUGUUAUUUGACUUGGGAAGCUAAUCACAAAUAACAGGAACUGACACAAUGGUUGAAAUCUCUAGAACCAUACUGCUAAUUAUAAAAUAAGGGGAAAUGUUCACUAAAUAAGACUUGGAACCAACACUGCAUAAACACCACAACAAUAACACCAAAACCCUAACUACAAAACGCAACGAUAACCUUGCUGCAUCCUGGCGUCGUCUAGCUCGCCGGAGAUGCUGAUGAAUCCCCGGGCCACAACUGGGCCGAGCGAAGGUGGGGUCUGCAGAAGCGGAUUUCGCUCGCGUCCAAGAGCCCCCAGCAAAAUCGAGGAAGUUCCCCUUAAUGCUAAACCCUAACUACCAUAAGCAGAUGGGGCUGACGAACCCAGUCGUGAGAACGUGGUCGGGGCCAUUAUAAGUUUU